GCUUCAAAAAAUUUUUAUAUAGUAUUGGUUUAAAGAAGUUUUGAUCUAUGGUAUAUAACUUAGCAAGGAUACAUUUCAACAAUGGAUAAAAAUGUCAAACACACUUUAAUGAGCGUCGGAAUAUAUACUCACAAAUCUUUGGACGGAAUACAAACAAGAUGUCUUCGCCUUCGAUAUGUAUAUUUAACUGACAUUUGAUUGACAUGUUUCUUUUCUAUCAUAUAUUUAUAAUUAUUACUCUGAUCUUUCUUACACUCCCUAGGGUUGACAUAAUAAAAAUGUUGUCAACAAACAAAA